UGGAAAAUCAAGAUUUUCCAUCAAUGGAAACCCCAUUUACCAUUUUGUUGGGACCUCUACUUUUAGUGAGUACACCGUGGUUCAUGUUGGAUGUGUUGCAAAAAUUAACCCUCUUGCUCCUCUUGACAAAGUAUGUGUCCUUAGUUGUGGAAUUUCGACAGGCCUUGGAGCAAGUUUGAAUGUUGCUAAACCAACAAAAGGCUCAAGUGUGGCUAUAUUUGGACUAGGAGCUGUAGGCCUCGCGGCUGCAGAAGGAGCCAGAAUUGCUGGUGCCUCGAGGAUAAUUGGUGUUGAUUUAAAUGCUAGUAGAUUUGAGCAAGCUAAGAAAUUUGGUGUGACAGAGUUUGUGAACCCAAAGGACUAUAGUAAACCAGUUCAAGAGGUAAUUGCUGAGAUGACUGAUGGCGGAGUCGAUAGGAGUGUGGAAUGUACUGGUCACAUUGAUGCUAUGAUUUCAGCAUUUGAAUGUGUCCAUGAUGGCUGGGGAGUGGCGGUUCUUGUUGGUGUACCCCAUAAAGAAGCUGUGUUCAAGACACAUCCUCUGAACUUUUUGAAUGAACGGACUCUCAAAGGAACCUUCUUUGGAAACUACAAACCUCGUUCGGAUAUUCCUUGUGUUGUUGAGAAAUACAUGAACAAAGAACUUGAAUUGGAGAAAUUCAUCACUCAUACACUUCCAUUUGCUGAAAUCAAUAAGGCUUUCGAUUUAAUGCUGAAGGGAGAAGGCCUUCGUUGCAUCAUCACCAUGGCGGACUAAACUUUCUGUCCUAGAAAAGGAGCUUCUACUGUUUGAGAAAAAAGACCAAUAAAUUGUCACUGUCUUAUUUUCCCUUUCGUGUUUGGUUGAGUUGUAACAUUCCAUCCAUGUCUCUUCUUUUGUCUUUUGCUUAGAUGUUGUGCUUUGCCAUAUCUCUUUCGAUUCUUGUAAAAAAUGCAAAUUCUCUCUGUUUUAUCUCAAGUAUAUUUACAGAAUUUCAGUGAUUUGAUAAAUCUAAA
rnacentral:misc_RNA from 1 species